GUUGGAGGGCCUGCCUGGUGGAGGAGCUGGUGGAGGAGCUGACGGAGGCCCUGCCUGGUGGAGGAGCUGGGGGAGGGCCUGCCUGGUGGAGGAGCUGAUGGAGGGCCUGCCUGAUGGAGGAGCUGGUGGAGGAGCUGACGGAGGCCCUGCCUGGUGGAGGAGCUGCCGGGUGACACUGAAGUGAUCGUCACUCUCACUGCCACCUCCAGUAGGACCAGGACUCUGUGGCUGAGGAGAGCUGCUGGAGGAGCUGGGACUCCUGAGGACGACCAGGACUCUACCAACAGGGAUACCUGAGUGAAGCUACGUCUGUAACCAGACCAGGAAUCUCUGGAGGACUGACGGAGAAGCCAAACAUCCGGACGGUGAAUCCUGAAGACUAGGAGUCUACAAACAAACCAGGACUCUGUGGCUGAGGAGAGCUGGGACUCCUGAGGACGACCAGGACUCUACCAACAAGGAUUCCUGGACGCUGAUGGAAUCCUGUUUGGUCUGGGGCAGACCAGCCUGAGCUGAGCCCACCUGAUCCUGUUUGGUCUGGGGCAGAGCUGAACCCACCUGAUGCUCACAUCCUGCUGGUCCCGUCUCCUCAUCUCAUCUGAGCCUCGUCCUCAAGAACUGCUGAGCUCCUUCAAGUCCACAGUCUGAGGCUGAUGGAUGAAUGAACUCCUUUUUAACACCACAUGUACCCGUGUGCUUCCACUCGCCUUUCCCACAUGUCUGUCACUUACUCACCUCACUAACUAACCUCACAACUUCACUUUCCUCUCUACUCCUUCCUGUUGCUCUUCCUUCUCCAGGGUUCGAACCUUUACUCUGAAGGAGUGUCUUCUUGAACCUUUACUCUGAAGGAGUGUCUUCUUGAACCUUUACUCUGAAGGAGUGUCUUCUUGAGCCUUUACUCUGAAGGAGUAUCUUUUUUCCCUCAGAGGGUUCAGUGUUAGGGUUCAGAGUCAGGGUUUAGAGUCAGGGACAGAGCUGGUUAGGACAAUUGAUUUUCACUCAAACUUAUUCGUUUGCUUUCUGAAUGGUUACACCAUUUAGAAAAAUGUAUUAAGGAAAUGUUUUUCUGUGCUAUGCUGGACCGGAGGCUGGAGGACCGGAGGCUGGAGGACCGGAGGCUGGAGGACCGG